CAUCUCAGUUAACCCCUUCCUUCCAUUGGCUUAUCCAAGGAGCUGGGCGAGGAGAAGGAACUGCCACAGCUAUCAAAAGAAGGACCCGGGAGGCAGGCACCACCUCCACUGCCGUGUUUCCGGAUGACUUACCAAGAACUUGUCAAAAGGUAACAAAGCUUAGUGAACAGGGAGGCCAAUUUGUUCACAGCUGAGGAAUCUCAGAGUCACGUGGGCCCUGUUGCUUACAUAAUACUUCUUCUCGUGGACGACUGCCUCAGAGAGAGUGGGAAAGAAACCCUCCAUUUCCCCUCUAUGGCUUCUCAGCCUUUCUCAUCACACCGAGGAGGGAGGCGUUCAGAACACCAAGAAUACAUCAAUCAGAGGAAAAGACAGAACAACAAGAAAAAAAAAUAGAGAAAGACCUCUGACAUUUCAGAGAGGCUGUUACUGCCCAGAGAUUUCAUUUCUGUCACAAGAAACUUACACACUUGGCAAUAAGCCAUAUAAGAGAGAGAAAA
rnacentral:sRNA from 1 species